rnacentral:rRNA from 1 species
AUGGAGGUCGCGGUGAAGAGAAUGUCACACGAUUCAAGGCAAGGGGUUAAGGAGUUCAUCGCCGAGGUGGUGAGCAUUGGUCGUCUUCGGCACCGAAAUAUCACACAAUUGUUGGGCUAUUGCAGGCGUAAGGGGCAGCUUCUACUGGUAUAUGACUACAUGGAAAAUGGUAGUCUUGACAAGUACCUACACACAAGAAAUGGCCCAACUCUAUGCUGGUCCCGGAGGUAUUCGAUCGUCAAAGGUGUGGCAUCAAGUUUGUUAUAUCUCCAUGAGGAUUGCGAGCAGGUCGUCAUCCACAGAGAUAUAAAGGCAAGCAAUGUGCUCUUGGAUAGUAAGAUGAAUGGAAGGUUGGGCGAUUUUGGUCUUGCAAGGAUAUACGACCACGAAACCACCGCUGAAACCACCCAUGUGGCUGGCACUAUGGGAUAUCUUGCACCUGAGCUCUUGCGCGCGGGGAGGCCAACACCCUUCUCUGAUGUGUACGCGUUUGGUGUGUUUCUCCUAGAGGUCACAUGUGGACGCAAGCCAAUCUUCAUCGAUGAGCAAAACAACCGGGUGUUGUUGGUCGAGUGGGUGCUUGAGCACCACCACGACGGCUCAAUGCUCGACAUGGUGGUUCCACGACUCGGAAGGGAAUUCAACACGGAGGAGGUAACCAUCGUGCUCAAAUUGGGUUUGCUAUGCACGUACCCGUCACCCAAUGCACGGCCUAUCAUGCGAAAGGUCAUGCAGUACCUCGACCAUGGUCAAUCGCCUCCUGAUUUAUCUCCGGCCUACAUAAGCUAUAUAAUGAUGGCCCAAAUGCAAAAUGAAGGAUUUGAUUCACACAACAUGCCAUGUUCUCAGCCCGCAAUGAGUGUCGCCACUGUGUCGGAUGAGACCAAUUUGCGAGAGGGAAGAUGA